AGACAAUUACAAAAGGAUUUAAAUGAAGUGCUUGUGUUUAACGCGUUUAAACUAUGUCUACACGAUCACAACUAACUAAGGACUUGAAUGAAAGUAUAAAAUCGUCAGUCGGAAAUAAAGUAAAAAUACUUUUUAAGAAUGUCGUUCGGUUGGAAACAAAAGGAGACAAGACUGAAAAUAGAGUUCUGGUAUUUUCUCCAUGUCGCAUCUUACUGCUCACAGCAAAAGUGCCAACAAAAAUCGACUGCCAUUUCCACUACUUGGAAAUACAAGCGCUGGAAAGCAAACGAGGCAAUCAGCUGAGUUUGACCAUAAACGACAAGGUCUACUCAUUUUUAACAGGCGACGAUUCAACAUGCAGCGCAGAAGUAGACAACAUGAUUUCCGCAUUGAACAAUGCCAUAAGAAACAUUUUUCCAACCGUCCCGCUUCAGCACAUCAUCAAAAAAAUCGACGUCAUACCCAACACCAGGCUUCAGCAGCUGCGAGAUCUAGAAGCCAUCGCUAGCAGUAGACGCGAAGUGGGGCCUUGUGGGGGCUUCUCGACCCAAUAUGCUUGCAUGUGCGACUACCACGGGAUGACCUACCGCGAAGAAGUGGCUUGGGACGUCGACAAUAUCUACGUAUCCCUAAAUACACGAGAAUUAUGCCUUAAAGAUUUCGAUUAUUUAGAUCAAAAAGACUUAAUUCCGAUAAUCAGCGCGCUGGAGUAUAACACGUGGUUUACGAAAUUGAGGGCUAACCAGGUGAAGCUGAGUCACGACAACAUCGACAGAAUUCUUCACGUUUUGAGGAAGUCGCUCAACUUGGAGGAGUUGUAUUUGGACAAUUUGGGGUUGAAGGCGGAUUUUGUAAAUAAAUUGGGGAGUGUUUUGAAGAUGAACCCGGCGUCGGCCCUCCACACCAUAGAUUUAUCUUAUAAUACUAUUGAAGACAAAGGUGCUAUUUAUCUAUCAGGUUGUAUUUCUCGGCUCAAUAAAGGACUUGUCCAUUUAAAUGUGGCCCAUUGUGGACUUAGUUCCAAGGGUGUCAAUCAUCUAGCAGCAGCACUCAAUAAUAAUAAUAGCGUAUUGACAACACUUACUUAUCUCAACUUGUGCGGAAAUAGCCUCAAGGACGAUAUAAGUAAUCUACACACGUUUUUCUCAAAUCCUAAUGCACUCCAGCAUAUAGAUAUAUCGGGCACUGACGUAAUAUUGGAAAAUUUGUUUGGUGCUCUCGUUCGUGGCUGUACAACCAAUCUAGUUCAUUUAAAUAUUUCUAAGAACCCGUUUAGUAGUAAAAAGAAUAAAGAGGCUCCCAUAUCGUUUAAGCAGUUUUUCAGCACCACCCUUAAUCUUAAGUUUCUUAAUAUGUCUCAUUGUAAGCUUCCGCAAGAGGCGUUAAAGAACUUGUUGUUGGGCUUGGCUUGCAAUGAAUUUACCAAAGAAAUGUCUUUAGAUAUAAGUAAUAACGGAUUAGGAAGUCAGGGUGCCCACGUUUUAGAAUCAUGUGUUCAUGGUGUUCGCUGCAUUUCUAGUCUAGAUAUAUCGGAUAAUAACAUGGACGGUGAUUUAGCCAACGUAGUUCUAGCAAUAAGUAAAAACAAAUCCCUGCGCCACCUCCAAAUGGGCCGCAGCAUGAAAAAACACAUGUCUACCAUAAUGGACUCGGUCGUCCAAAUCCUCCAAGACGACGAAUGCCUUCUCCAAACCCUCGUCAUCUCCGACUGCCGCCUCCGCUCCGACAUGUACAACCUCCUCAACGCCCUCGGCGACAACAAGUCCCUCGAGACCCUGGACAUCAGCGGCAACCUCAUCGGAGACUCCGGCGCCCGCCUCCUGGCCAAGGCGCUCCAAAUCAACAACAAACUCAAGACCGUCGUCAUCGACAGAAACAACAUCACUCUGCAAGGGUACCACGACCUCGCCUACGCCCUCGAAAGCAAUAGAACCGUGCAAUACAUUCCCUUCCCCAUCUUCGACGUCACCCCCUGCAUGAAAGCCAACACCGAGAAGACCGACGGCGUCAUGAAGAAAAUCCAGGACCUGCUGAACCGGAACGUCACGCUGAAACGCAACCUGCUGAAGCCGAUCCCGCUGCAGCCGGGAUUCCUGCUGACCUCGAAACAACAGGCGCUGGAGAGGCUGGUGGCGCAGACGCAAGAGGCGAUCAAGAAUUCGGCGCUGGACUCGAUCAUGUCGCAUAAUGACAUCAACCACGCGACGGGGGUCAUCCAGGAUGCGGAGAACUCGAAGCAGCUGUUGGUGAGGCUGCAAGAGGUGGCCAAACAUAGGGACGAUGGGCAUCCGGUCGAGGCGAAACUGCAACAAGCGGCUUGUGAUAUACACAACAGCAUCUGUGAUUAUUUGCAGAUCACGACUGACAAAAUGUUGAAGUGCUGCAAAGAACAAUGUCCAUACUUACUCCACGACGAGCAAACCGUGCAAGAAAUAAAAAAGGCGUGCAAGAACAAAAAACAAAUCCCCCUAGAUUUUAUAACAACAUGUAUUAAACAACAAGCAGGAGUCGAUAUAAUGAACAGAGUCAGGGAAUUGAAUCUGAUGGUGGCGGCGCAGUUAUCGGAACAGAUCACCGACGAGGUGUACGAGGUUUUGAUGAGGAGCUACAAAAUUCUAGUGGGAGAUGCAAGUGCCAUUCGAAUUGAUUCGCCCCCAAGGCGGUCAAGGUUGAGCAGUUCGGGGAGCAGCAGACAUGGGGCUAGCGAUAUCUCGAUCACUGAUAGUAGUCAUCAGUCGGAUCAUUCUCCUUUGAUGUUGGAAUAUUUGAAUUUAGCGACUCCCCAUCUUUCUAUAAAAAGGAAAAGUUUGCAUGGCAGAAAACUUCGGCCGAAGUCGGUUGUUGAUAGUGUUGAGGGGCUUUCAGCGGACGAUAUUCCGAGUCUUUUGCCCUCAGGCAACCGACAUUCUGAAGAAGACGAUUCGGUUACGGAAUUGCCAAGCGCAACUCAUCAAUUGCAACACUUAGUUAAAGGUCGCCCCCGGCGCGCGAAAACCCGGGCCCCCACGCGCCCUCUAGUCAAGCACCCCGACGUCAGCGACGCCGUUUCGCAAGACCUGGUCGAAGGUCUCGACACUUUCUUCCGUCCAGGUUCCGUAACACCGACGUCGGACGACUGCAACUCGUUCCAAGCCGACGGUAGUCCCAACCACGACUACGCCUCGCCCGUUCUGAGCGACGACCGCAAAACACCGAAACUGAGCAGAAACUCGCCCCUGUUGCGCGGCCUCAUGGCCACCCCCACGCCGAGGUCCAGGUCCACCGACAACCUGGAGAAGUUCUCCCCGUCUUUCGGACGAAGGGGGGCCAACGAGUGUGCGUCGCCCCUGUCCAGACGCUUCACGGGCGACAGCUUGACAUCGCACGAGAGCAGCGACGGCAGCAUCUCCGGGGAGGUCACCCUGACGACGGAAAACUCGUCUUCUGCGGAAACAGUUGAUCACUCUGAUUCUUUGAAACAUCCGAAGACCAAGUCUGGACCCAUCGUAGCACCUAAGCCUAGGCCGUGGUCUAUGGUGAAUUCGGAGGCCAAAACUGUCGAUCUGAGUUUACUAAGUGACGGCUCUUCUCCUAUUAACUCAACAGGUAAUACGCCUGAUUCCGCUGACACCUUAGACAGUUCAGAGUCUUCUAUAGAGAAAAGGCUCACCAAGGAAGUAAAGCUGAAACGAGGUGGUGAGUUUUGCCCAUUUUUGUCGAUUACCUUGUACUCUUUGUCUAUUUUAUGUUCGCCUGCAUCUCCUUGCUUAUUCUUUUUCGUUCGGAAGGUAUUUUGCAGAAUUAUUUGCCUGAACGUGGUGACCUCAAGUUUUUGCAACGUUACAAGGUACAUUUUCCGUUUUGUCUUUGUGGACUUAGGAAUGUGGGGGCUAUUUUUAACGCGACUGUUUUCAGGUGACGUCUGAUAAACCCAGUCAAUCGUCGAACGAAGUAAGGAGAAGAGAUAGUAACUAUAAUUCCUAACAAAUUCCUAGAGUUCUUCUAGAAAGGGUGGCAGUGCCCUAUUCUUCCCACUUUGAAAUCUUUAAAUUUAUUGUACGUAUCUUGCUUCAACGUAGGCGAAUAUUUUUAUGAAUCAGAUAAAGUAAGCAUUUGACUGCAAAUAAUAAUAGACAAGAUUGGUUUAAAAUCGUUUCAAAUUGCCAUUUGAGCUUCCUGAUUAAUAAUGAACAAACAAGGUUUAAUAAGUUGUGAUUAAUUUUCGAGCAAGUAUUAUUUAUAUAAUUAAAAUUAUUUUUUUAGUAGUAUACACAUCACGGUCAGUAAUUGUAUUACCGCCAUUUUUUAUUACAACUGUAGAUCUCAUUACGUAUUUUUUAUUGUACGCUCAUUCCAAGAUACUUAUUUAAAGUGCAUACGUAUUCCAUUUUAUUUGUAUAUAAAGAUAACAGUAAAUUUCUCAGCUUCUACAAAGUGCAGUCACGUAUUUGUAUUUUGUUAUGUUGUGUUUUAAAUGUGUUAUGUAUUUUUUUAUAUAUAUACUUGUAACAUGAAAUUUGCUUCCAUUCUUGUAUUUGUCGUUUUUAUACUGUCAAUAAAAAGUUUAUUAUUUAAAAGAUGUGGACCACAUUUGGAAAACAAUUUAUUCACUCACAAACAAAUAGUUUAGAUGAUCUUGGUUAUAAAAAGGAAAUUGUAGAUCUCAUGAUUGUAGACCAUCAUGAUACAAACCUGAGUAUAUUAUAAUCCAAGUAACCUAUAAAAGAUUAAGUAGUGUUAAGAGAGUGACAGUUUGAGCAAAUUUCGUUUUAAUUAUAAACCACUUGGAGACUUACCAAAAACCCGGCAAACGAGGUCAUAAAACCCUCCUUUGUUAACUCCCAAGCCCCUCCAUAUUCCUCUUCGUCCACACAUUGAAAACUACUAAAGUAGAAGUAUAUAACAGCAGCAUUAACGAUUACAAAUCUACAACAAACUGUCUAUAGUGACAAUGUUUACCACUUGUACAACCGUACAGUAAUAAACCUAGGAAUCCUUUUAGUGGAAUUAAACCCCAAAAUACACCAAGAAUAAGCCCUAUCGCUUGUCGCGCCCAAUAUAUUACAUCUAAGAAUUCGUCCUACAAAAUCACCGUCAUUACACGACUCCAACAACGUAACAACCAUACCUUGUCUGGCCACUCCGAAUUGGCAGUUAUUGCUCUUGUGAACACAGACUUUAGCUCGGAAGGUUUCAGUGUUCCAUUCUUUUCCACCGUUUUCGUUUUCGUACUCAUUCUGACUUGGCACUUUAUCUACAACACACGUAGCAUACACAUUACAAUUAAUUUUUGGUCGUAAUCAGUGCAAAUAUGACUAUUUACGGAGAAAAGUACACAACCCCAUUCGUGUGACAACUUGUCACUUGCAAAA